UCAACGCUGUUGAGCUCGACUGGCAGUUCAUCACGCGAGCGAAAGCGAGCAGACUGUAGCUAAUUCUUGAUUCCACAAUGGAAACAGUGAUCUAAUGAAACGCAUGGUCGAGGAGGAAUCUGUCAGGAAGAAUCGGAAAUCGGAGAAGUGCCAACUGAAAUGUAUGUCACGCCACAAUCAGUCCCUCGAUCACGGUUUCAUUUAUUUUUACGAAAACUACCUUUUAACCUACUAAUGAAUGAGUAACGUCCACCUGACCACAUACACUAGUGUAUAAAAAAAAAUUUAUCGAUAAAAAUCGCGGUCUUUGACGAUUAACGGCCAGCUCAUGAUAGAGCUUGCGGUGCUGCGUCCGUCUGCCCUUGUGAUACCCACAAUUAAAAUUUCCGAACUUUAGAAGGUGUGCUUUAGUUCCGCGAGUAUCUUAAACAGAAUGACUUUUGGGAGUCGCUCUUUUUUUGUAGAAACACAAAAUUGUAGUACUAAGAGAGUGCGUCAUGUUUUGUGUAUGAAUCGAAUUAACAGAAGCUCCUUUUUUUUACCCAGAAGCCGGCCAGGAGGAGCCUAGGUGACAGAUAUAACGACCAGUUGCGGUUGCCAGUGGGUAUUUUUUAACUCAUCCGUGGUUCUUCUAGUCGAAGGAGUUUUUACAGUUGAAUUCAAGAAAACAAACGCACCAGCGCGGCUUCUGCGACAACAACUUUGAUCGCAUGUAUUGCUUUACUUGCUCCAUCCGAUGACUGGCAAAAGCGCCCAGAAGACGGCAAAUACCCAGAUGAACGUGAUAUAGAUGACGUAACGGCGAUGUAAACGAUCUGCGGAAAAAUGGCUGUUAGUGAUGUGUUUAGUUGAGCAAAGUUAACCACCGUAUGGAUGGGAAACCCAAGAAGCAAGAUGCAAAUGUCAGAGACCGUGAGGUUCAACAAAAC